rnacentral:rRNA from 1 species
UACGGAGGGUGCGAGCGUUAAUCGGAAUGACUGGGCGUAAAGCGCACGUAGGCGGUCGUGUCAGUCCGUUGUGAAAGCCCCGGGCUCAACCUGGGAACGGCAAGGGCGACGGCACGACUGGAGUGGACCAGAGGACCGUGGAAUUCCCGGUGUAGCGGUGAAAUGCGUAGAGAUCGGGAAGAACAUCGAUGGCGAAGGCAGCGGUCUGGGGUCACACUGACGCUGAGGGGCGACAGCGUGGGGAG